rnacentral:rRNA from 1 species
UAUCAAUAAGCGGAGGAAAAGAAACCAACAGGGAUUGCCUCAGUAACGGCGAGUGAAGCGGCAACAGCUCAAAUUUGAAAUCUGGCCCUUUCAGGGUCCGAGUUGUAAUUUGUAGAGGAUGUUUCGGCGAGUGCUCCCGUCUAAGUUCCUUGGAACAGGACGUCAUAGAGGGUGAGAAUCCCGUAUGUGAUGGGUUGCGCGAGCCAUGUGAAACUCCUUCGACGAGUCGAGUUGUUUGGGAAUGCAGCUCUAAAUGGGAGGUAAAUUUCUUCUAAAGCUAAAUACCGGCCAGAGACCGAUAGCGCACAAGUAGAGUGAUCGAAAGAUGAAAAGCACUUUGGAAAGAGAGUUAAAAAGUACGUGAAAUUGUUGAAAGGGAAGCGCUUGCAACCAGACUUGCCCGCAGUUGCUCAGCCCGCCUCCUGGCGGGCGCACUCUUCUGCGGUCAGGCCAGCAUCAGUUCGGGCGGCCGGAUAAAGGCGUCGGGAAUGUAGCUCCUCUCGGGGAGUGUUAUAGCCCGGCGUGACAUGCGGCCAGCCUGGACUGAGGAUCUCGCUUCGGCUAGGAUGCUGGCGUAAUGGUUGUAAGCGGCCCGUCUUGAAACACGGACCAAGGAGUCUAACAUCUAUGCGAGUGUUUGGGUGUCAAACCCAUGCGCGUAAUGAAAGUGAACGGAGGUGGGAACGCGCGAGCGUGCACCAUCGACCGAUCCUGAUGUCUUCGGAUGGAUUUGAGUAAGAGCAUAGCUGUUGGGACCCGAAAGAUGGUGAACUAUGCCUGAAUAGGGUGAAGUCAGAGGAAACUCUGAUGGAGGCUCGCAGCGGUUCUGACGUGCAAAUCGAUCGUCAAAUUUGGGUAUAGGGGCGAAAGACUAAUCGAUCCUU